GAGUUGGGCUCAAAUCAGAGUCCAGAAGUCGGUCCAAACUCCACACGCAUAAACCCUUCUCACUUCUCUCCUGGAAAACCCUCAGCUCUCAACGAAACCCUUUCCGACUUCACUAGACCCAUCAAUGGCAACUCUUAAGGAAAUAUUAACGCGGCGACCGGUAGCGGCGACAAUUCGCCUCACCGUCCCAGCCGGCGGGGCCCGCCCGGCGCCGCCUGUGGGUCCUGCACUUGGGCAGUACCGUCUCAACUUAAUGGCAUUCUGCAAGGACUUCAACGCACGGACCCAGAAAUACAAGCCGGACACUCCCAUGGCCGUCACCAUAACGGCGUUCAAGGACAACACCUUCGAGUUCACUGUGAAGUCACCAUCGGUUACCUGGUACUUGAAGAAAGCAGCCGGGAUCGAGUCCGGUAGCAGCCGGCCGGGACACGUGGUGGCGUCGACGUUAACUUUGAAGCAUAUAUACGAGAUUGCGAAGGUGAAGCAGUCUGAUCCUUAUUGUCAAUACAUGUCUCUUGAGUCUAUUUCUAAGUCUAUUAUUGGGACUGCAACUAGUAUGGGAAUUAAGGUUGUGAAGGACUUGGAUUAGUGGGAAAAUGCAAAUUUUUAUGAUUUUUUAUGAUAUGGAUUUGAUGAUAUUGUGUUCUUGUCUGGUUGCAAUGUUAAAAUAAGCUAAAACAGUUGCAUUGUUGAUGGAGAAUUUCUUGAAAUUUGUUAUUUAAUGCUAAAUUGUGUAUCCAGUUGCUGUCACUCUACCGAGCUUAUGAUUUUAAGAAGCCUUCCAUGAACUUGCCUUGCUGUUAAGAUUGUGCAUAUUGGACUCAAAGUAAU
rnacentral:misc_RNA from 1 species